rnacentral:lncRNA from 1 species
GAAUGCUCUGGGCACCUGACUAUAGAAAGAAGAAUGGAAAUUAUAAUAAAAAAAUCCUAAUUCUAAUAGAAUACUAACAAUGCUCUAAUUAGACUAUAAUAAUGGCAAGCAAACUUAAUCAAAUUCAAAGAAACCUCAAAGAAAUUUCAAACAAACAAUAAGAAUUCUUAAAGAAAUAUUAAAAGAAUCAAAAAUAUCAUUCAAAUACAUCUCAAUUCAAUCUUAAUUUAAUUCUAAUUAAAAUCCUAUUGAACUUCAUUCAAACUUUAGGCCAAAACUAAUUAAAUCUUAAAUCCUAAUAAAAUCCUAAACUCUAAAUCAGACCCUAAACAAACCUUAAACCAAACCACAACCAAAUCCUAAACCAAAUCCUAAUCAAAUCCUAAACCCUAAAUCAAACCCUAAACAAAUCCUAAUCCAAAUCCUAAAUCUUAAAUCCUAAAUAAAACCCUAAUUCAAACCCUAACUAAAUCCUAAAUUCUAAAUCAAAUCCUAAAUAAAAUCCUAACCAAAUCCUAAACCAAAUCCUAAUCCAAAUCCUAAAUCCUAAACCCUAAAUCAAAUCCUAAACAAAUCCUAAAUCCUAAAUCAAACCCUAAUCCAAAUCCUAAAUCCUACACCAAACCCUAACCAAAUCCUAAACCAAAUCCUAGUAAUUCCUACAACAAAUUUAAACCUCAAUAACUAAUGAUUAAACCAUUGAUCUUAAUUCAAAUUUUACACACUUCUAAAAAAAUAAGUUAAAAAAAAGCACAAAAAAAAAAUUAAAAGGAUC